GUGGGGAAUAUUGGACAAUGGGCGAAAGCCUGAUCCAGCCAUGCCGCGUGUGUGAAGAAGGUCUUCGGAUUGUAAAGCACUUUAAGUUGGGAGGAAGGGCAGUAAGUUAAUACCUUGCUGUUUUGACGUUACCGACAGAAUAAGCACCGGCUAACUCCGUGCCAGCAGCCGCGGUAAUACGAAGGGUGCAAGCGUUAAUCGGAAUUACUGGGCGUAAAGCGCGCGUAGGUGGUUUUGUAAGUUGGAGGUGAAAUCCCCGGGCUCAACCUGGGAACGGCCUCCAAAACUGCAUGACUAGAGUACGGUAGAGGGUAGUGGAAUUUCCUGUGUAGCGGUGAAAUGCGUAGAUAUAGGAAGGAACACCAGUGGCGAAGGCGACUACCUGGACUGAUACUGACACUGAGGUGCGAAAGCGUGGGGAGCAAACAGGAUUAGAAACCCGAGUAGUCC
rnacentral:rRNA from 1 species